CCUACGGGUGGCUGCAGUGGGGAAUAUUGGGCAAUGGGCGCAAGCCUGAUCCAGCAACGCCGCGUGAAGGAAGAAGGCUUUCGGGUUGUAAACUUCUUUUCUCAGGGACGAAGCAAGUGACGGUACCUGCGGAAUAAGCCACGGCUAACUACGUGCCAGCAGCCGCGGCAAUACGUAGGUGGCAAGCGUUAUCCGGAUUUACUGGGUGUAAAGGGCGUGUAGGCGGGGAAGUAAGUCGGAUGUGAAAACCAUGGGCUCAACCUGUGGCCUGCAUUUGAAACUGGUUUUCUUGAGUACUGGAGGGGCAGACGGAAUUCCUAGUGUAGCAGUGAAAUGCGUAGAUAUUAAGAGGAACACCAGUGGCGAAGGCGGUCUGCUGGACAGCAACUGACGCUGAGGCACGAAGGCGAGGGGAGCAAACAGGAUUAGAUACCCGGGUAGUC
rnacentral:rRNA from 1 species